rnacentral:lncRNA from 1 species
AUGAACUUUGCAGGUUGGUGGCGGAAUCUGGUGAUUUAAGAAAACGUGUUUAAGCCUCGGCCGGGCCGCGCCUGGGCUGUCUGCGGUGCUCUUCCGGAAUUCUCUACAAUAUCUGGAAGUGACCAAGAAAAUUCCAGAACCCGGAGGCUGCGCCGUGGAGAUAAACAUGGGCACCUGGGAAGGAACUGCUGGACCAGCAGAAUGAGGGGCCAACGCCAGGGGCAGCACUGCCCGGCCACAGAGGACUGUGGCCCCACAGAUG